GAGAAAGAUCUUGUGGAACAGGACCAGCUAAAAGCGGAGUACGCACAGCUUGUUACCGAGCUACAACACUUCCAGACCUUCCUUGAUGCUGCACGCAACCAAAUCUCUGUGAGGUGCGUCGGUCAUAUCCAGUUACCUGGCUCCUUAAUGUUUAUUUUCUCUUGUUGCAGCGUUCCAAGACCUGAGUACAUGGCCAUGAAAGCUCAGAUGCUGGAGCUGCAGAAACGUCUUGCUGAUAUCCAGGCCAAGUCCAUCAAACUCACGUACCAGACAGCGCAUUUAACUCCAAGGCCGUCCUGGACCGCAGCUCCAGUUGGAGAGAAAGAUCCGACGCUGUCCACGCUUGAAC
rnacentral:lncRNA from 1 species